ensembl:lncRNA
AUGCCUGAUUACAAGAUGGCGGCGCGUCCACACGCAGCGGCUUCUCUCUGUCCCGACAGAACGGUGUUUUCGUGUUUUUUGUCUUGUGAGUCGCAGUGUUUUUGUACGUCGUCAUCGCGUCUAUCUGUCUUUAAGCGCGCAUACAGUCGUGAGUUUCUGCUGGAUGUCGGCAGAGCCGCAUUUUUAGAGUUAAACUCCGCGCACGCGGAACUGCUGCGAGAUCUCGAACUGCUCCGGAGGCCUACAUCAUCACCGACCCCCUCUACUGCAUCUCGCCCACAGCGGAGGCGCCACAAGCGGCGUGAGAGGAAGCAGAAGAGGGGUAAGCGCGGAGGUAUCCGGGCUAGGCUAACGGCUAACCCACACAAGCCAUCCAUCCCCACCGUCGUACUGGCUAACGUACGCUCUUUGGACAAUAAACUGGACUACAUCCGAUUACUACGUUCAACUCAGAGGACUGUAAGAGACUGUUGUGUGUUUGUAUUCACGGAAACAUGGCUCAGCGACAGCGUUCCGGACUGCGCCAUUCAGCUCGACCAGCUGACGUGCUAUCGAGCAGACAGAGCUCGCGUCGCGGGAGGAAAAACCCGCGGCGGCGGGCUUUGUGUUUACAUCAAUGACGCGUGGUGCCGCGAUGCUGUUGUGAUCUGCAAACACUGCUCACCCCUGGUGGAGUUUAUGAUUAUUAAGUGCCGGCCGUUCUAUCUGCCGAGGGAAUAUACUGCCAUACUGCUCGUUUCGGUUUACAUUCCCCCGAACAACAGCAACAGCAACAGGAACGAUGCACUAAAUGAACUGUACCAGCACAUCAGUGAGCAGCAGACAGCACACCCCGAUGCUUUUCUCAUCAUAGCUGGGGAUUUCAACCAUGCUGACUUAAAGAGUGUGUUUCCUAAAAUACACCAACACAUUAACUUUCCAACAAGAGGUAAAAACAUUUUAGACUUUGUUUACACCACACAGAGAGGAGCUUACAAAGCCCUCCCCCUCCCCCACCUCGGUGCCUCAGACCACAUCACUGUCAUGCUAAUGCCUGCAUACAGACCGCUCGUUAAAGUCGCCAAACCAGUUCAGAAACAGAUUCAAGUGUGGCCAGAAGGAUCGUCUGAGGCUCUUCAGGACUGCUUUGAUACAACUGACUGGAAUAUGUUUAAGCAGGCUGCCACUUAUAAUAACUCCACUGACCUCCAGGAGUACUCGGAGACUGUCACUGCCUACAUCACCAAGUGUAUUGAGGAUGUAACAGUCACAAAAACCAUUACUGUCCGGGCCAACCAGAAGCCGUGGAUGACAGGGGAAGUCUACAGACUCCUGGAGACGCGGAACGCUGCCUUCAGAGCUGGAGACGAGGGGGGCCUGAGAACAGCCAGGGCCAACCUAUCCCGCGGCAUCAGAGAGGCUAAGAGACAGUACUCCAGGAGGAUAGCCCAUCAAUUCAGCGACAGCAGAGACACUCGGAGCCUGUGGCAGGGGAUACAGACCAUUACGGACUACAAGCCCCCACAGCGGACCUGUGACAGCAACAUCUCUCUGCUGAACGAGCUGAACACCUUCUUCGCUCGCUUUGAGGCACAAAACAGCUCCACUGCACAGAAGACUCCACCUCCUCCCAGUGACCAGGUGAUGAUGCUGACCCCAGACAGCGUGAGGAGAUCCUUCAGCAGGAUCAAUGCACGCAAAGCUCCGGGUCCUGACAACAUUCCUGGGCGUGUACUGAGAGACUGUGCAGCAGAACUCACUGAUGUCUUCACAGACAUUUUCAACAUCUCACUUAGUCAAGCUGUUGUUCCCACAUGCUUCAAAGCUACCACCAUCAUUCCAGUCCCGAAGAAGCCAUCUCCAUCAUGCUUCAAUGACUACCGUCCUGUUGCACUUACUCCCAAGUUUAAGCUUAAAACAAGAAUAACAAAUAAUCUUGUUUUUCCUUUGAAUUCAGUUCAUUUUUCUUAA